GAUGAACGCUGGCGGCGUGCCUAAUACAUGCAAGUCGAACGCACAGCGAAAGGUGCUUGCACCUUUCAAGUGAGUGGCGAACGGGUGAGUAACACGUGGACAACCUGCCUCAAGGCUGGGGAUAGCAUUUGGAAACAGAUGCUAAUACCGAAUAAAACUUAGUGUCGCAUGACACAAAGUUAAAAGGCGCUUCGGCGUCACCUAGAGAUGGAUCCGCGGUGCAUUAGUUAGUUGGUGGGGUAAAGGCCUACCAAGACAAUGAUGUAUAGCCGAGUUGGGAGACUGGUCGGCCACAUUGGGACUGAGACACGGCCCAAACUCCUACGGGAGGCUGCAGUAGGGAAUCUUCCACAAUGGGCGAAAGCCUGAUGGAGCAACGCCGCGUGUGUGAUGAAGGCUUUCGGGUCGUAAAGCACUGUUGUAUGGGAAGAACAGCUAGAAUAGGAAAUGAUUUUAGUUUGACGGUACCGUACCAGAAAGGGACGGCUAAAUACGUGCCAGCCGCCGCAGUAA
rnacentral:rRNA from 1 species